CAUGCCUUACACAUGCAAGUCGAACGGCAGCACGGGGCAACCUGGUGGCGAGUGGCGAACGGGUGAGUAAUGCAUCGGAACGUGCCAUUGAGUGGGGGAUAACGUAGCGAAAGUUGCGCUAAUACCGCAUAUUCUGUGAGCAGGAAAGCAGGGGACCGCAAGGCCUUGCGCUCUUUGAGCGGCCGAUGUCAGAUUAGCUAGUUGGUGAGGUAACGGCUUACCAAGGCGACGAUCUGUAGCGGGUCUGAGAGGAUGAUCCGCCACACUGGAACUGAGACACGGUCCAGACUCCUACGGGAGGCAGCAGUGGGGAAUUUUGGACAAUGGGCGCAAGCCUGAUCCAGCCAUGCCGCGUGAGUGAAGAAGGCCUUCGGGUUGUAAAGCUCUUUCGGCCGGGAAGAAAUCGCAUGGGUUAAUACCCUGUGUGGAUGACGGUACCGGAAUAAGAAGCACCGGCUAACUACGUGCCAGCAGCCGCGGUAAUACGUAGGGUGCGAGCGUUAAUC
rnacentral:rRNA from 1 species